rnacentral:rRNA from 1 species
UACGUAGGGUGCGAGCGUUAAUCGGAAUUACUGGGCGUAAAGCGUGCGCAGGCGGUCUGUUAAGACCGAUGUGAAAUCCCCGGGCUUAACCUGGGAACUGCAUUGGUGACUGGCAGGCUUUGAGUGUGGCAGAGGGAGGUAGAAUUCCACGUGUAGCAGUGAAAUGCGUAGAGAUGUGGAGGAAUACCGAUGGCGAAGGCAGCCUCCUGGGCCAACACUGACGCUCAUGACACGAAAGCGUGGGGAGCAAACAGG